CGUUUCGACGUGUAAUUGGGUCACUUUAUGACGGUUGGCGAUCUUUAAUCACAGAUUUGGAAAGUAACGUUCGACGAAGCAGCAAAACGAAUGAUGAAAAUAUUCCCUGUCCCGUUGUUCUCGCUUAUUUUUGCGCACGUCGCGUCGCCAGACCAGCCGAGUUCGUCGCCAUUACGCCGUCGCUGAUAAGCUAAUCGACGCUGUAAAAAGCACAGUUCACGGGUGACAUCGUCGUUUCGUUCACGAUACUUGCGCCGGUACGAUAACGCGAUACGACCCGGAAACCUUCGAUACACCUGUUUCGGAGCUCCAAAGAUUACCAGCGCUUGCUGAGAUAUAGAACAGCGUAUAUGGGGUUAGAAAAGGUUGGGCAGGUUUUAGAGUUUCGUCGAGAUUCGAUUUAUGAGCAGAGGAAGAGGAAAGUUCCCUUACAUUAGUACCUAUGACUUAAAGGACCACCGAGGAAGAAUUGGUGAUUUUUGAAAAAGAACAGCUGUUCGGAAGCUUCUCAAGGCAACGAAUACGAUCUGCGAUCGUUAGAUGUUUGGUAAAAAAGUGGAUGGGCCAACAAAAAAUCAAUAUUCCAGGGCGUACGACGAAUUGAGAUACAAGGUAGUUGACGGCGAUUAGAGCUACCGGUGUGGCCCGAUUCUUGUGGUGUGACUAAUCUGUAAUUGGACAGAUUCGCAAACCACCGAGCAGCGAGUCGUCCCACGAGAUCUCCACCUUCGAAAUUGCAACCUACCUGUCCAGAGACUUCGUUUUAACAUACGCUAUGUAUAUUUAAUCAGUGUAUAGUACGAUCGUUGUAUAGUUCUAUUAAUACAAAAAAUUCCUUUUUCAGACAA